CCUUUCUCACUUCUCAGGAGCAACAUUCAGAGAAAUGUGAAACACCUACUUGGCUGCAGAGAUGGCUCACAACAAGCUUGAAAACCCUCUUAGGAAAUGCAUGGAUCAUGGGAACGGCUGCCUGGUUUUCCAAAUGAGCAGCCGCUAGCUCUCCCGCCGUAUAUGAAGCACACUGACUUGACCAGCUUGAUGCAGCUUGAACAUCACUGCUGCGCCUCUGUGUGACAGCCCGAGUGCUGAUGUCAGCACGGCCACGUCUCCACUGCCAUCCGGGCUGACGAGCUGUCACACACUCUCUCUGGUGCUGUGUUGCUCCCACACAAUGGAGCCAAUUUUUGUUCAGGACAAAGAAAAUAUAAACAGAGCGUGGAUUUGGAAUAUGAGCAAGGCCUCCAAGCUUACAGAAAUCUUCAGCCAUGGGGAAGAGCCAUGCUAUGUUAACCAUCUGCCAAUAAAGCCUGGCUAACCAAGUGCCGGCCAGUGUCCCUAGUCACUUUGCUGGUGCCUCCAGAAGGCUGCAAAUGCUGAUGGGCAAGACUGGUGCUACCAAUGAAAUUCUUGAUUUAGACUCUGUGGAGUC